AAAAUGGAAAAGAGUCGCUGCCCUUUCAGGCUUUUCACUGGAGGGAAAAACAAACAGAAAAUCUGUCAAAUCGAAACCAAAGGCUCUUCCAAUUCCUGAAGGGCUAUCAAGCAAACAUUUCACUGUAAUGGUAUGUAGUAUACACAUAUACCUCUGCAUUUUUGCUAACUGAAAAAGAAAAUGCUUUUGUGAUCAAAGCUGAGUCUGAGAGUUCUUCAGUUCGUCUUCGAAUUCUUCACUCAUUGUUAUUCAAGAGAAGAAUCACCAGAAGAAUUGGACAAAUCCAGUAAAUCAAUGGCUUCAAGUAGCGGAGCAGCACACUCGCCCCACCAUCACAACCAAACGGCGACUACCACGGAAUCAAUCAGCAAGGCUAUUGCUCAGUACACGAUGGAUGCCCGACUCCACGCAGUUUUCGAGCAGUCCGGCGAGUCUGGUAAGUCGUUCGAUUACUCACAAUCGGUUAGAACCACCAACCAGUCCGUGCCCGAGCAGGAUAUCACCGCCUACCUCUCGAAAAUUCAACGUGGCGGCCAUAUCCAACCGUUUGGCUGUAUGAUUGCCGUCGAUGAACCCACUUUCCGAGUCAUCGCCUACAGCGAGAACGCUCGCGAGAUGCUUGCUUUAACUCCCCAGUCAGUUCCCGUGCUUGACAAACCUGGGAUUCUAACAAUUGGCACAGACGUACGCAGCCUCUUCACGCCUUCCAGCGGGAUUCUGCUAGAGAAAGCGUUUGGUGCGCGAGAAAUUACUUUACUGAACCCGAUUUGGAUUCACUCGAAGAAUUCCGGCAAACCCUUUUACGCCAUUCUGCAUAGGAUAGAUGUGGGCAUCGUGAUUGAUGUGGAGCCUGCGAGAACAGAGGACCCUGCUUUGUCAAUUGCAGGGGCUGUGCAGUCACAGAAGCUCGCGGUUCGUGCUAUUUCGCAGUUACAGUCACUUCCAGGAGGGGAUAUUAAGGUUCUUUGUGAUACUGUUGUGGAGAGUGUCAGGGAUCUUACUAGCUACGAUAGGGUUAUGGUGUACAAGUUUCAUGAAGAUGAGCACGGCGAGGUUGUGGCUGAGAGCAAGAGGCCUGACUUGGAGCCUUAUUUUGGGCUGCAUUAUCCGUCAACAGAUAUCCCCCAGGCAUCAAGGUUCUUGUUCAAGCAGAACAGAGUGAGAAUGAUUGUGGAUUGCCAUGCCUCACCCGUUGGUGUAAUUCAGGAUGAUGGACUUAUGCAGCCUCUGUGUUUGGUUGGCUCAACACUGCGUGCUCCUCAUGGUUGUCAUGCUCAAUAUAUGGAGAAUAUGGGGUCAAAAUCAUCAUUGGCAAUGGCAGUUAUAAUCAAUGGAAAUGAUGAGGAAGUUAUUGGAGGAAGAAAUGCAACGAGGCUUUGGGGUUUAGUGGUUUGUCACCACACCUCUGCUAGAUGCAUUCCCUUUCCUCUCCGCUAUGCUUGCGAGUUUCUAAUGCAGGCAUUUGGGCUCCAACUGAACAUGGAACUCCAAUUGGCGGCACAGUUGUCUGAGAAACACGUUUUGAAAACUCAGACUCUCUUGUGUGAUAUGCUUCUUCGUGACUCACCAACGGGCAUUGUUACUCAAAGCCCCAGCAUAAUGGACCUUGUGAAGUGUGAUGGGGCAGCACUUUAUUACCAAGGCAAGUAUUACCCAAUAGGAGUGACCCCGGCCGAGGCUCAGAUAAAGGACAUUGUGGAGUGGUUGUUGACGUUUCAUGGAGAUUCAACGGGUUUAAGUACAGAUAGUUUGGCUGAUGCCGGGUACCCUGGGGCAGCCUUGCUGGGCGAUGCUGUUUGUGGUAUGGCUGUUGCUUAUAUUACUAAUAGGGAUUUUCUGUUCUGGUUCCGAUCACAUACAACAAAGGAGAUUAAAUGGGGUGGUGCAAAGCAUCAUCCUGAGGACAAGGAUGAUGGGCAGAGAAUGCAUCCCCGUUCUUCGUUCAAGGCUUUCUUGGAAGUGGUAAAGAGCAGGAGUUUGCCAUGGGAGAAUGGAGAAAUGGAUGCCAUCCACUCUUUGCAGCUGAUUUUGCGAGACUCAUUCAAGGAUGCUGAAGCUAGCAAUUCCAAGGCUGUUGUAAAACCCGAGGUUGGGGAGCAGGAGUUACAAGGGAUGGAUGAGCUCAGCUCGGUGGCUAGAGAAAUGGUGAGGUUGAUAGAGACUGCCACUGCGCCUAUCUUUGCUGUAGAUACUGAUGGCUGCUUAAAUGGGUGGAACGCAAAGACUGCUGAGUUGACUGGGCUCUCAAUAGAGGAAGCUAUGGGAAAAUCCUUGGUUCAUGAUCUUGUGUACAAGGAAUACCAAGAGACUGUUGACAAACUGCUUUCCCGUGCUUUAAGAGGUGAAGAAGAUAAGAAUGUAGAGAUAAAAUUGCGGACAUUUGGUUCAGAAAAUUGUAACAAGGCUGUUUAUGUGGUGGUCAAUGCUUGCUCUAGUAAGGAUUACACAAAUAAUAUUGUAGGAGUUUGCUUUGUCGGUCAGGAUGUUACUGGACAAAAAGUCAUAAUGGACAAAUUCAUCAACAUUCAAGGUGAUUACAAGGCUAUAGUUCAUAGCCCAAACCCUUUGAUACCUCCAAUAUUUGCUUGUGACGAAAAUACAUGUUGCUUGGAGUGGAACACUGCAAUGGAAAAGCUCACGGGGUGGGCCAGAGACGAAAUCAUUGGGAAGAUGUUGGUUGGGGAGGUUUUUGGCAGUUGCUGUCGGCUCAAAGGUUCAGAUGCUUUGACAAAAUUUAUGAUUAUCUUGCACAGUGCAAUUGGAGGGCAGGAUACAGAUAUGCUUCCCUUUUCUUUUGUUGACCGUAACGGGAAAUUUGUGCAAGCUCUCCUGACUGCAAAUAAAAGGGUCAAUAUGGAAGGGGCGUUUGUUGGAGCCUUCUGCUUCUUGCAAAUUGCAAGCCCUGAGUUGCAGCAAACUCUGGAAGUCCAGAAGCAACAAGAGAAAAAACGCUUUGCAAGGAUGAAAGAGUUGGCUUACAUUUGCCAGGAAAUAAAAAAUCCUUUAAGUGGCAUACGCUUUACUAAUUCACUUUUGGUGGCUACGAAGUUGACUGAAGAUCAAAAGCAGUUGCUUGAGACUAGUGCUGCCUGUGAGAAGCAGAUGGUGAAAAUUAUUCGGGAUGUUGAUCUGCAGAGCAUUGAAAAUGGUUCAUUGGAGCUUGAGAAGUCUGAAUUCCUACUUGAGAGUAUCAUAAAUGCCGUUGUUAGCCAAGUGAUGAUCUUGCUAAGGGAACGAGGUCUACAAUUAAUUCGUGAUAUUCCAGAGGAAGUAAAAAGUCUAGCUGUUUAUGGUGAUCAAGUAAGAAUUCAACAGCUUUUGGCUGAUUUUUUGUUAAACAUGGUGCGGUAUGCUCCGACUCCCGAGGGUUGGGUAGAGAUUCAUGUUUGUCCAACAUUGAAGCAAACCUCUUCUGGGCUGACUCUUGUGCACGCUGAAUUCAGGAUGGUAUGCCCUGGUGAAGGUCUUCCUCCACAGUUGGUUCAAGACAUGUUUCAUAGCAGCCAAUGGAUGACUCAGGAAGGCUUAGGGCUGAGUAUGUGCAGGAAGAUUUUAAGGCUCAUGGAUGGUGAAGUUCAAUAUAUCAGAGAAUCUGAGAGAUGCUAUUUCUUAAUCAUCCUUGAACUUCCUAUGUCUCGAGGAGAGUCGAAGAGCAUAGACAAAGCUUAGCAGACAGCUUAAGUUUACCAAACCAAGUCAUCUCCCAAAAUAUUCAACCUACGGUAGUUGGCUAGUACCCUGAGGAAUUUUCCUCUACUCAGUUACAAGGUCUACAUGGGGCAUUGUGGAUUUUAUCCGUUACCGAAGCCAUGUUUUUGCCAGAUACAAUCAAAUGUCACCCUCCUACUUAUACCAGGGAACUCAUUAUCUCUUAUCACACGGGACAUGCUUUAAAAUCUUCCUUAAGUUGUCUUGUUUGUUAGCAUUUCUGAUGCAGUGGGGGCCGAGAGGAACUAAGGUGGAUCGUAGAUUGUCGUAGACUUCCACGAGUAAAGCGGUUGCAAUUGUAGGCUGGCUGCUGGAUUGACUUGUAACUUUCCCACUUUAUAUGCAAUCUCUCCAGUCAUGUUGGCAGUACACAGUGGUCUUACAACGGUAGGCCAAUGGUGAUUAGAGAUUAUUUAUUUGUCAAUGCUUCCAUAGUUCCAUAUGGAAAAAACGACGUUGCAACUUGCCGUUUUAUUCUACUUGCUGCUGCAAGGCCGUUCCUUGCGAAAUCUACUCCUGAUUCCUGAAAGCGAAAGCAAGCCCCCCGCCAGAGGAUGGAUAGACUCUCAUUCCCCGUACCCUCUAAAGGCCCAAAGAAUGAUGUCCACUGGGCCUUCUGCUGCAAGGAGCCACCUAUCAAAACCCAUUUGACCCAAGCUGUCUGUGAAGUUGACUGGUUUUCCUUUUCCUUGGGAGUUUAAAAACGUGGAGCUUGCUAUUAAGCUUCCCCGGAGUUAAGGAUAGGAUGCAAGUUGCCAACCGACCAAGCAAAGCAUCUUCAAGCUUUGGACUUUCCAUUUUCAUGGUGGCUUCGCUUUAUCUAUUUUUCCUCCAUUAUAGGGAAAGAGAACAAGAGUCAUCCGUGUUUGUCUAUAUAAACAGAGUAUAUCUGUCUGAAAACUUUGUUCAUGCAUGGGCUUUAAUAGUCAUGAUG